CGCAAUCGCCUCCUUCUCUGGAGGGGCUGUGUUUAUUAGAUACAAAACCAACCCACUUUGUGGAGUCCUGGUGAUUCAUAGUAACCGAACGGAUCGCAUUUGGCUUCGGCCCGCGAUGGAUCAUUCAAGUUUCUGACCUAUCAGCUUUCGACGGUAGGGUAUUGGCCUACCGUGGCAGUGACGGGUAACGGGGAAUUAGGGUUCGAUUCCGGAGAGGGAGCCUGAGAAACGGCUACCACAUCUAAGGAAGGCAGCAGGCGCGCAAAUUACCCAAUGAAAACAGUUUCGAGGUAGUGACGAGAAAUAACAAUACAGGGCAUUUUAUGCUCUGUAAUUGGAAUGAUGGGAAUGUAAAACCCUUUCAGAGUAACAAUUGGAGGGCAAGUCUGGUGCCAGCAGCCGCGGUAAUUCCAGCUCCAAUAGUGUAUAUUAGAGUUGUUGCAGUUAAAAAGCUCGUAGUUGGAUUUCUGUCGUGGUCAUCCGGUACCGCCCGUAUGGGUGUGCACCUGGUUUGCCCUCGGCUUUCUUCCGGUAGCCUUCCGCGCUUCACUGCGUGUGUUGGUGUUCCGGAACUUUUACUUUGAGAAAAAUAGAGUGUUUCAAGCAGGCUUGUCGCCCUGAAUACUUCAGCAUGGAAUAAUAAGAUAGGACCUCGGUUCUAUUUUGUUGGUUUCUAGGACCAAGGUAAUGAUUAAUAGGGACAGUUGGGGGCAUUCGUAUUUAACUGUCAGAGGUGAAAUUCUUAGAUUUGUUAAAGACGAACUACUGCGAAAGCAUUUGCCAAGGAUGUUUUCAUUAAUCAAGAACGACAGUAGGGGGUUUGAAGACGAUUAGAUACCGUCGUAAUCUCUACCAUAAACUAUGCCGACUAGAGAUAGGGAAAUGCCUACCUUGGCUUCUCCUGCACC
rnacentral:rRNA from 1 species